rnacentral:lncRNA from 1 species
AGGCAGCUGGUGUAUGAGCUUAUGUCACCUCUAACUUAUUAGCUUGGGACAAGGUAAUUGCAUCGUUUCCACAAAAUAGAACAUGUUCAUAGUAACUACAUGCUAAUUCCUUUGAACACAACAGUAAUUAUAUGGUAACUUUGCAUCUCUCAACAAUUGUGUGAUUAACUGGUGGUGCGUAAGUUUUAAGCCAUGUGUGAGCUCAGCAUCAAGGUAGACAGUUCUGACAGGGUUCAUGCAUCAAAGGACACAGUAUUAUCUCACUCUGUUCCCCAGGAACUUUGCUUCUUUUUUAAUGCUAAUGGGUUUGCCCAGGGUCUGCUGAGGAAGGAGGGCUGCAGUAACAGUCCUGAAGGUUCACCGGGACCCCACAGAAGCAGCAAAUCUUUUCAGGGCACUGAACGUCCUCAGGGAAGGCCUUAUCAGUAUGAAAGUUUUCAAGCCAUCCCCCUGAACAUGGAGGCACUGUCUGCUCGAGAUGUCAUGUGGUGGCUACCCUGGCCUUGA